UGGGAGGUCGUCUAAUGGCAGGACAGGGGCCUUUGGAGCCUCUAGUGAAGGUUCGACCCCUUCCCUCCCAGCCA
rnacentral:tRNA from 1 species